GAUGAACGCUGGCGGCGUGCUUAACACAUGCAAGUCGAACGGUGAACGAGGGAGCUUGCUCCCUCCGGAUCAGUGGCGAACGGGUGAGUAACACGUGAGCAAUCUGCCCUGGACUCUGGGAUAAGCGUUGGAAACGACGUCUAAUACCGGAUACGAGACGCGAAGGCAUCUUCAGCGUCUGGAAAGAACUUCGGUCCAGGAUGAGCUCGCGGCCUAUCAGGUAGUUGGUGAGGUAACGGCUCACCAAGCCUACGACGGGUAGCCGGCCUGAGAGGGUGGCCGGCCACACUGGGACUGAGACACGGCCCAGAAUCCUACGGGAGGCAGCAGUGGGGAAUAUUGCACAAUGGGCGCAAGCCUGAUGCAGCAACGCCGCGUGAGGGACGACGGCCUUCGGGUUGUAAACCUCUUUUAGCAGGGAAGAAGCGAAAGUGACGGUACCUGCAGAAAAAGCACCGGCUAACUACGUGCCAGCCGCCGCCGUAAAAC
rnacentral:rRNA from 1 species